UUCAGUGUAAGCCGUUACUUGUCACCCAAACUUAUGGAUGAGGAUAUAGUUAAUAGCACUUGUUACAUGGUAGAUGAAACAAGUGAAGUUGGUAGAUGAAACAAGUGAAGUUGUGAAGUGUUAACACAUAGUGUAUGUUUGAACAUUGUAUGCAAUUGCUCAUUACUGUUAAUUGUGAUUUAUUGACUUUUUAGGUUAUUUGUCUAAGGUGAAGUAAUCUUACAUUUCUUUCACAGAAUGAUGUCAAAUUGUCUUUUGGCAAAGUUCAAUAUGAGGGGUGGUGGACAUCUGGAAAAGAAGUCUUUUAAAGGCACACCUUUGUAUUAUGUUAUUCAAGAUGCUGUGAAGAGGUGGAGCCCAAAUGCCACAGACUCGGAAAUAGAUGCAGCUAUGGCAGACCACCUCAAGCACGCUCCAGGAAGAGCUGGGGGUGGUGGAUACAAAAAAGCCUAACAGCUGUAAUGUGUUAAAGAGAGAGUUCACCAAAAAAGGAAAUUUGCUAUAAUUUUCUUAUCCACAUGUUUCAAACCUGUAUACCUUUCUAUUUUCUGCUGAACACAAAGAUUGAAGAAUGUUUGUAACUUCACAACCCAUUAACUGUCAAUCUUUUUUUUUACAAUUGUAGUAAUGGGUUGUGAGAUCUGCUUUGUUAAAAACAUUCUUUCAAAUAUCUUUGUGUUCAGCAGAACAUAGAACGGUAUACAGGUUUGAAACAUGAGAGGGAAUAAAUGACUAAAUAUUAAUUUUUGGGUGAACUAUAGAAAGUGUUUUUAAAAUUGUUAUUAUAGUUAAAUGGUUAAAAAAAAUAUAAAGUGCUAAAUCAGAACAUGCUUCUUUUUUGGUUAUGGCCACAAAUAAUGUGUUCUUUAAUGUGUUUGUGAAGUACACGUGGUUAAAACUUUUUAUGGACGUUCAGGUCUGACUGGACCAAUUUUGAACCGAUUUUGAACCUUUGUGAAUAU